AACUUUUGAUUACUUUUAUAGUAAAAUAUACAUAAAAUUUUAAGUGUGGGGGUUUUAAAUAUACUUUGCUCCUAUUAAAUAGGUACUAUAUAUACUGAUGAUCACCAAUCUGAGGUCUUCAUGACCUUAAGUACAAUAAUGAUUCUUCCGCAGGUUCGCCUAUGGAAA
rnacentral:misc_RNA from 1 species